UUCUCUUAGAGAGAGGGAACAGCGGAAGGAUCAUUACAGUAUUCUUUUGCCAGCGCUUAAUUGCGCGGCGAAAAACCUUUACCACACUAUGUUUUUUUAAUUUGAAACUAUUGCUUUGGUCUGGCUUAGAAAUAGGUUGGGCCAAAGGUUUUAUCAAAACUUCAAUAUUUAUUAUUGAAUUGUUAUUUUUAAUUUUAUGUCAAUUUGUUGAUUAAUAUCAAAAAUCUUCAAAACUUUCAACAACGGAUCUCUUGGUUCUCGCAUCGAUGAAGAACGCAGCGAAAUGCGAUAAGUAAUAUGAAUUGCAGAUUUUCGUGAAUCAUCGAAUCUUUGAACGCACAUUGCGCCCUUUGGUAUUCCAAAGGGCAUGCCUGUUUGAGCGUCAUUUCUCUCUCAAAUCUUCGGAUUUGGUUUUGAGUGAUACUCUUAGUCAGACUAAGCGUUUGCUUGAAAUGUAUUGGCAUGAGUGGUACUAGAUAGUGCUGAACUGUUUUCAAUGUAUUAGGUUUAUCCAACUCAUUGACCAAGUAAAGUAUUUGUUUAUUACACAGGCUCGGCCUUACAACAACAAAACAAAAGUUGGCCUCAACUCCAGGUGGAAUAGCACUGGC
rnacentral:misc_RNA from 1 species